rnacentral:rRNA from 1 species
CCUACGGGAGGCUGCAGUAGGGAAUUUUCGUCAAUGGGCGCAAGCCUGAACGAGCAAUGCCGCGUGAACGAGGAAGGUCUUCGGAUCGUAAAGUUCUGUUGAAGGGGGAAAAGAGCGGAGAGAGGAAAUGCUUUCUGAUUGAUAUUACCCUUCGAGGAAGUCACGGCUAACUCCGUGCCAGCAGCCGCGGUAAUACGUAGGUGGCGAGCGUUAGCCGGAAUGGUUGGGCGUAAAGGGUGCGUAGGCGGCCUGCUAAGUCUGGAGUGAAAGGUACCGGCUCAACCGGUACAGGCCCUGGAGACUGGGGGGCUAGAGGGCAGGGGAGGGCAGUGGAACUCCAUGUGGAGCGGUAAAAUGCGUAGAUAUAUGGAAGAACAUCAGUGGCGAAGGCGGCCGCCUGGCCUGUUAACUGACGCUGAGGCACGAAAGCGUGGGGAGCAAAUAGGAUUAGAUACCCCUGUAGUC